ensembl:lncRNA
AUAUAUAUAUAUAUAUAUAUAUAUAUAUAUAUAUAUAUAUAUGAAUCUGUCCAUUUCACCUACAUUUUUCAUCUUAUCGGAGUACAGGUUCUCAAAGUAGGUGCUGAUGAUCUAGAUUUCUGCAAGAUCCAUUGUGAUUUUUCCCUUUUCAUUCCCAAUUGUGUGGGCUUGGGUCUUUUCUUUCCUUUUUUUGAUAAGGUUGGCCAAGAGUUUAUUUUAUUUAAUCUUUCAAAGAACCAAUUCUUCGAUUCAUUGAUUUCUUUUAUAUUGCUUUCUUAGUCUCAAUUGCAUUAAUUUCUGCUCUGAUCUUUAUAAUUUCAUCCCUCAUACAUGCUUUUGGUUUAACUUUUCAUCUUUUGCUAGAAGCUUGAGGUUCAACAUUAGCUUAUUUAUUUGAGCUCACUCUGUUUUUAUGAUGUGGGAAUUCACCACUAUAAAUUUUCCUCAUAGGUCUGCUCUCAUUGCAUCCCAUAAGUUCCAGUAUGUCGUAUCGGCAUUAUUGUUAAUUGUAGAAACUAUCUAAUUUCUUCUUUCAUUUCAUCUGUGACCCAUUCUUUCAGGAGGGUAUUAUUUAAUUUCCAUGUGUUAAUGUAGUUUUUGUGGUUUCUUUUGCCAUUGGUUUUUAAUUUCAUUGCACUAUGAUCUGAUAAUAUGCAUGGUAUAAUUUCAGUUCCUUUGCAUUUACCUAAGCAUGUUCUGUGAGCUAGUAUGUGGUCUAUUUUGGAGAAAGUCUCAUGUGCUGUUGAGAAGAAUGUGUAUUCUAUUGUUAUUGGGUGAAAUACUCUCUAGAUAUCUACCAAGUCCAUUUGUUCAAAGAUUUGGUUCAUCUCUGAUAGUUCUUUGUUGAUUUUUUUGUCUACUUAAUUUGUCUUUUUUUUUUCUUGGUACCGGGGAUUGAACUUGGCUCCUUGCACUUGCCAGGUAGGUGCUUUGCCACUGAGCUACAUCCCCAGCCCUAAUCUGACUAUUUGUGACAGUGGGGCAUUGAGGUCUCCCAUUACAAUUGUAUUAGUGCUUAUCUGAUUUUUCAUAACCAUUAGCGUUUGUUUUAUAUAGUUGGGUGUGGUAGUAUUUGAUGCAUAUAUAUUUAUGAUUAUCUCUUAUUGGACUGUUCCUUUAACAAGUAUGUAGUGACUUUCUUUGUCUCUUGUGAUUAGUCUUGGCUAGAAAUCCACUUAGUAAACAAAUGGAAUAGUCACCUCUGCUUUUUUUCCAGGUUCCUGUUUCAUGGAGUAUUGUUUUCUAUCCCUUGACUUUCAGUCUAUGAAUUUAUUUUGACUUAAAUGUGUUUCUUGUAUGCAAAAUAUUGUUAGAUCUUGUUUCUUGAUCCAUUCUGCCAAUCUGUUUCUUUUGAUUAGUGAAUUGAGACCAUUCACAUUCAUGGUUAUAACUGAUAUUGAUUUAUCCUUGGCAUUAUAUUAUUUUCCUGUUGUUGGUUCCUUUUCUUUCCCUUCUAUUUAAUUGCUUGCCUUGCUUGGUGGAUUCAAUCUAUUAGGAUUGUUGGAAUUGUCUUCAUUGUCUUUUUUUAGAAUAUUCCUUAGAACUUUUUGGAGUGCUGGUUUGGUGGUCAUGAAUUUCUUCAGGUGUUCUUUAUCAUGGAAGUAUCUUAUUUCUCCAUCAAUUUUGAAAGAUAACUUUGUUGGAGGUUGUUUUCUUUUAGGGCUUGAAAUACUUUGCUCCAAGCUCUUCUUGACUUAAGGGUUUGUGUUGAGGAGUCUGCUGUGAUUCUGAUGGGCUUUCCUUUAGAGGUGAUCUGUUUCUUUUCUCUAAUAGCUUUUAAUAUUCUGUUCUUGCAUUGCAUUUCUGGCAUCUUGACUAUUGUAUCCCUUGGUGUAGCUUUUUUCUGAUCAUGGCUAAUUGCAUUUCUAUAUGCCUCACUUAUGUAUAUAUCAAUUUUUUUUCCAUGGUUGGAAAGUUCUCUGCUAUUACUUCUGUGAACAGAUUUUUUAUUCUCUUUGUACUAUCUUCUGAUUUUUCAUUGAUUCCAGUUAUAAUCUUAUGUUAGUCUUGUUUGCAUUAUCUAGCAGCUGUUGGAUUAACUUUUUGCUAUUUUUAAGAAAUCUUUCAUUUGGUGAUCACCAACUACAAUCCUGUCUUCUAGAUCAGAUAUUCUAUCUUCACAUUGGUUGACUCUGCUGUGUAUACAUUGAAUAGAAUUUUUAAUCUCCUGCAUUUCAAUUUGAAUCUGUUUUAUGGAAUCCAGUUCUUUUUUAUGUUGGGCAUUAAUGGUUUCUAUGUCUUUCCUAAGCUCCUGUAUUUUAAAAAAUCUGUAUCUGAAAAAAAAAUGAAAAUAAAGGGAAAAAAUGGAAAAAAAAGAAUAAAAUAUGUAUCUACUCUAGAUUUAUGAACCAUUUCCUUCAUUAUGGUCAUCAUCUCUAAUUAUCUGUGUGAUUAUUUCUGUUUUGAUUUUGUCAAGAGUCUUAUUUAUCUGUUUUGUUACUUCUGCUGAUACCAUUUCAGAAGGGUCCACUGGGGGGCUUUUGAUUUCUUCCACCUCAGUGCCCCCUGGAUUUGCCUUGGGUGAGUUUGGGGUAUUGGAUUCAUCUUGCUUCCAUGUUUUCUCAUUUUCUCUUUGUUUUCUGCAUUGAGGCUUGUAAAUUGCUUACGGUAGGUAGCUUUAUUAAUAGUAUCAAGACCUCUUUAGGAAAUGACUACUUUUCAGGGAUGUCUUCUAGGCAUGGCUGACUUUUGGCCUUUGAGUCUAUCUGGAUCCUUUGGCCAGGAUCCUGCAUCUUCUGUUUAUUUUGUUGUGUUUUUUUUUUUUUAGUUCUUUUAUUGGUACAUUUUAGGUAUACAAUUCAUUUACAUUUAUCAUUGGGUGUUUGUACAUGCAUCUUCUGUUUAUUAGGGGUGCAAGUUUGCAGCCUGUUUGGCCUAGCACCCAGUUCUUUGAUACUGGUCUAUAGCCUUGUUUAUGACUCCUAAAUCAUCUAGCUAUUGCCAUACAAGGAAGAUAAAUUGAUCACAACAACUGUGUCACCUUGGUUAAAGUGCACAAUCAGUAAUAACAUUAGCAUCAAAUACAGACUGGAAAGUGACAAACUGUGAUAACAAAUAGUUUACUACCUUUAACCCUAGGUGUAAGAUUUAUAGUUAUAUAGCAAGAUCUAAGAGAAAUCAGGAAAUUAUAUAUAUUAAAUAUCUACUCAAUAGAGCAACUUUAUCCCAAGGGGAGAAAAUUUAAAAGGUAGAGAAGGAAAAAAUAGAGAAACGAAAGAAGAGAGAGAUUAGAAGCAAGGUUGAAAGACAAAGGAAUAUUACCCAAGCCUCAAGAAGAAGUUUGAAGGGAAGAAGACAGAAGGGAAGGAAAGAAGGAGAAAAUGAAACAAGACAAGAAAAUUACUAAAAACAGUGUUCACACUCACACACACACACACACACACACACACACAAGCAAUGGGGUGGUGGUGGGGGAAUGAACAAAAAAAAUACCAAAAGCAAAGAAAAAAAGAAAAAGAAAUUUCUCUGUGAUUUCAAUCCUGUGGCUAUCACCUGAGGUCUACAGUUUCCUGGCAGUUCCAAUUCAAGGUGUGACUCUGUUCUCACUAGUAGACAGGGGAGGCUUUCAGAGCCUAGAUCCAUGUGGGGUAAUCCCAGCAAGAUGGCAAUAGGAUUAUGGUGAGAUGCCAGUUUGGGGACUUUCAAAUACACAGAAAUUCAGGCCGAACCUGCCUUCUGCUUGUGGGAGUGGGGCCUGAUAUCUCUUGCCUCCCUGACCACAGCUCCCUGACCCUGGACAUCUGUGGCUGUCCCUCACCCAGUCACUGAGUCAGUUUAACACUGGUAGCCCUGAGAUGAAGCCAACCUGCAGCUACUCUGAGUCUCAGGUUCAGUUGACUCCUCCCUAAAAUGGCAUCCAAACAGGCCCUCUCUCCAGUGCAUAUGGCAGAUGCUUGGACUGGAGUCACUCACCAGCUAUUGUGCAUGGCAUCCACUGCUCCAUUCCACUGGUGCAUUUCUCCCUGAAGGCAUCUGGUGUCAUCCACUCUGUAGAUUCAAUCUUCUUUUCUUUGGUCACAAGCUAGAAGCCAGGAAGAAAGGAGGGGAUUGCCCCUUCCUUUUUCUCUGUUUUGGUCUGUCUUUUCAGUUUCUCUGUAGGCUCCAGUUUUCCCUUCAAAUCCUUCCUGGGUCCCAGGGAUCCACCUCCCUCCUUUUCUUUCCCAAGUUGUUAUUUUCCAGUGUCUGGAUUCCGAAUCUUGGAGAGGCUGAUUUGUUGCUGCUUACUGCUCUGCCAUCUUCCCGGAAAUCUCAAGAUUUACAUUUAUUAAGGGGGAGAUGUCUUCUUGUCUACUCUCUUUUUGUGAAGACAAUGGCACAGCUGAAAUUACAGAAUAAAAUGUGAGAAAGUUAAGUAAUGCUUUGAAAUCUCAGAGUUAUCCUGUUCAGAAAGAUGAAUAAACAACAGAAAGGUAAAAUCAUCCAAGAGCUAAAACGAAAACAAGAAUUGAUGGGGAUUUAACUUUUUUUUUCUCUGAAAUGAAAAUGGUUAUUUAAUCUUUUUAAUAUAAACAAAAUUGGCCGGUGGUAUAACUGAAUGGGUGAGCAUUUGCCUAGCAUGCAUGAGUCCCUGGGUUCCAUCCCCAGCAGCAAACACACACACACACACACACACACACACACACACACACACACACACAGAACAACACAUAACUGCUCAUCGCAAACAUUUAAACAGAAUGUAGGCAAAAAAGAUCUCCAGAAUGACCCCUUGCAAGUCCCAGAAGGAGAGGUUAUAAACAUGGUAUUGUGGAGGGAUAUCCUUUGUGCUUUGUGGGUAGAGCGGAUCAGGACAGUGAGGAAGUAUACUCUCUCAUUGUUCAACUUCUUGACCAAAUUGCAGCCAUCUGAACACAGAGACAUGGCAGUGGGCUCCAGGAUGGAGCUAGUAUGAGCUGAUCCGUCAGGUGACAAAUACCUUCAGGCUACAAUGUGCUGAGCAAGCCAUUUCUGUCUCAUUUUGUGCCUUCCAUCUUCAUUAUGGCCUUAAAUGCUAUCUGCAUUGCUUCUCAUUUCCACUGGCAGGGAACCAAGCCUCCUGGUUGGGAGGCAGCCGGAGAGCACUGAUCUGCUUGGCUGUGGCCCCAAAUCCUGUAAUCUACUGUGCUCCCUUGGGAAGGUCCAGUCUCCUCCGGAAGAUGAAUUCCCCAUGCUUUUCUGUGGGGCAAGAAAGGUGUCCUUUGGCAGGAUAGUGUGGUUUAUCUCAAGAGCCACCAGGUGUCUCUCUGACCAAAACAACCUCCCAAAUCAGCAGCCAGAACCCAAAUUCUUUAUCUUUUUUUAACACGUGAAAAUUCAAAUAAAUAUCAUUGUAAUGAAAACACAGUGACAAAGAAGAGUGUGAGGCUAGAGUUUAUCCCUUGCACCUGGGUGCCUCUAAGCUCCAACACAUUUAAUAUCUGGGCUUGCAGCCAGGGUUUCAGAGCCGCCUUACACUUACAUUUAGCUUUACAGAGUGCACACUGGGAUGACUCAACAGAGAAGCUCCAUAUUUCUCUGUCAUUAUGUACAUUUCAGAUAUUCUUGCAAAUUUGGAUACUGUUUUUAGACUUGAACAUUUUUUAUACGUAUGUUUAAAAGUAUUUUGAAAUUUUUUGUGGCUCCAGACCCCAAGUUCUAAAACUCCUGUGUUUGCCUUGGGUCCAUAGGACCUGACCCCAAACCCCUAGGCAAAAGCAAUGUCAAUCGCAGACCUGGUACCUUGGUGGCCUGCAGAGAAAUCCUCACCCAGGACCACUUGUCAUGACCUCUUUUUCCCACUGUUCAAUGAGGGGAUAGUACCUAGGAAACCCCCACCAAGUGCAGUAGAGCCAAUGGUGCCUGGUAAUCUCAAUAGACCUCAGAUGUGUUGCUCUGUCCCCCUUCAGAUCAUUCUUCCUCACUGCAGUUGAAAAAAUGUCUGGCACCUCUGCUGCUCUAUGGAAAUGGGGACAGUGAUAGUAGCUCUUCUCACAGGGAUACUGUGUGGGGUGAUGAGGUCAUCUGGGUAAAGCACUUGGUAAGCAAUGGGCAAAGUGCCUGCCACAUCCUGAGAGCUGAACAGAUGUCAGCUGCUGUGUCAUUAGCAAUGGGGUCUAUUUUCUAGGGAAGAAAAACAACUUAGCCUUUCCACCCUGAGCAGGUAAAAGCCAUCUUUAUAUGUUCCAUGAUUGAGCUGGAGAAAGCACCUAUAUACAAGUCUGCUGCCCCUGCCCUGGGAUUAAACCCAGGGCCUUACACAUACUAGACUCUAUCACUCAGCUCUACCCCAAGACCCAGUUCUCCUAAGACACUGGGCUGUUAAUGGAUGUUUGCUUUAACAGGAUCAGCCUCAGGAAAAUAAACACUGGAGAAAAAGUAGUUUCUUUAACAAAUGGCACUGGGAAAGCCGAUGUGCAGAAGAAUUAAUCUAGACCCAUAUCUCUCACCAUGUAUUGAAAUCAAAUCAAAAAGGGCCAAAGGCCUAUAUAUGAAAACAAAUGUUGAAUCUGCUGGAAGAUAAAGUAGGUAAAAACCUUUGAAGACAUAUGUAUAGGCAAGGACUUUCUAAAUAGAACUCCAGUUGCACAAGAAAUAAUACCAGGAAUCAACAGAAAGGAUUAUAUCCAAAAUUUCUAUAAAAUGGAGUACUACUCAGCCAUAAAGAAUGAGAAAUUAGAGACAUUUAUAGCUAAAUGGAUGCACAUUGAGACAAUACUUUUUUUUUCCCUUAAAUUCUUUUAUUGGUACAUUUUAGGUAUAUAAUACAUUUACAUUUAUCAUUGGGUACUGUACCUGUACACGAUGUAUUUUGGUUCUUAUUUUCUCCCCAUUCCCUGUCCUCCCUUGAGGUGAUACUCCUAAGUGAAAUAAAUAGGACACGUGUAAGUACUGAAUAGUUUCUCUAGUGUGAGAAACUGAAAGUGUAAAUAAGGACUAAAAGGUAUAAUAGAUAAUGUGAAAUAGGAAGGAAAGUGGCAAAGGGGAAGGGAAAGUUGGAGGGGUAGGGGAAAAGAAAGAAGGAAAUGGGAUUAAUAUGAGAAAAGGAAAAAAUGGAAACAAA